UGACAGUUUAAUUGACUUGGAUAGGGCAGUAUAUAACUAUUCUUUUCAACGUCUCUAUCUUCUGGAGAUCGGUGUCGAAGAAAUAAAGGAUAGAAUAACUGGUAUAGAAAAUAAACUGCUGAAUAUGAUUCAUCAACAGUUUUUGAGAGGUUUGAAAGACAAAGACGUUGAUACAAUUACAAGGUGUUUUAGAAGGUAUAACAACUUGGAUAAACAGAAAGAAGCUGAGGAGUUCUAUCAAGUGAGAUUUGUUAGGUCAGUUUUGCAACCGAUGUAUUCAGAAAAUAAUAUAGAUAGAUUCAAUCAAGAUAUCAAUAAAAUUUAUAACGAAACAUUGAAUUUCAUGUAUUCUGACAUGAAAAUUUUGGAUGAUGUACUGGAAGAGAAUGCUGACUUCAAAGAUUCUUUCAACUUUAUUUUAAACAGUUUUUGGACAGAAGAAGAUCGUCAAUGCAGAAAAGGACUUCCACACAUUACAGCACCAGGAAAUCCUGAGUUAUUUCAAAAAUGAUUUGUAAGCACCUGGAAUCUUCUUGUAGAAAUUGCCAAGAAAUAUGGGAAUAAGGAGUGAAAACAAAUCCAUCAUUUCAAGACCAUAUAAAGAGAUUCCAGCAAAUUGCAAGCCAGUUUGAGACUGAUCUCACAAUUUAACCAAAUGACUCCUCCAUUUUCAAUGGUGAUAUUGACUUUGGAAUCAAACUGAAAAUAACACUUGAUUUGUAUGUUGCUUUGAAAAAAUGCUUCAAUGGCCAUGUUUUCAUUGAUCAAUUGGCAGAUCAUUUCCUCAAAUUCUCAAUGUUUCUUCUAUCUAGAUGCAUCAUGUGGUUCAAGAAAAUAUUGGAACAGCGCUAUACUAAUAUGGAUUGGGAGUAAGUACUUCAUUAUGAAUUCCCUGAUGGAUUUUGAAAAACUUCUCACUAUUCUCGGUGAAAAAGAUACCCUCAAUUCAGAUGGAAUUUCGUACAACAUAUUCCCUGAAAUGAUGAAGCCUGUGAUAGAGAAAGUAUUCGACAACAGCAAUAAAAUUAUAAGUGAAUUUUCAGUUGAUCUGGGUAAUUUUUUGACUUCAUUCAAUGUGAAUGAAACUUCUGAACAGCUGCAAAAUGUUACUGCUAAUCCAAGAUUAUUCAGAGGAACCAAUAGAAUACCCCCCCAAAGAAGCUAGUACUUACAUGAUUGAUGCUGUUAAACCAGUUCUACAGUUUGCAGAAAAAUACUCUGAGAUUUACAGUAAUAAUAAUAAUAAUAACUUUUUUUACCCAACAAGAAAGUUCCCAGUAACAGGGUAACAAAUUACUACAACUUAAAGAAAAUACAUGAUACAGAAAAAUGGGAACCAAAUCAUGUUAGCGUACUCCAACCUACUGAGAACAAGUGAAAAGUAGACAUUUCGAGAGCAGACAGAUCGUCUAGCUCACGGAAGCUCCUGAACAGGAAACCCAAAAACUUGCAGGAAGAUGAACGUAGAUCCUCAAAACUCAGCUCCCUGUCAAACCAAACUACCAGGUCACGAAAGCGAUCUCCAGCCGCAAUAAAAUCACCACCAAUGUGAUAAUCGAAAGCUAGUGGCUGCGUCUUCCUGGUGAAAGUAACUUUGAAACACUUCUUCAAAUUUAAAAUAAGUCCAUUCCGCAAGCACCAACCUUGAACCAACUCCAAACUUGACUGAAGAAGUAAUUGGUCAUUAAUUCCAUGUAUUCUCAUGAACAGCCUCAGAUCAUCAGCAUAGGCAAGAGCCUCACAAUUGAGAGAGCAUAAAAGGUCAUCAAUGAACAUAAUGAAAUAAGCGAACCUUUACUUGAUAAAGUGAUUCUAAAGAUCAGUCAGCAAUAUUCCCAUCUAGUGAAGGAUGUUUUGCAAUCAGUAUGUAAAACAGAAGAAUCCUUGCGUAGAUUGAAAAGCAGAAAUAUCUCAUCCUUGGAGGAGCUUUCAUCGAGCUUUCAUCGUCUACAUCAGAAACAAUGACUGAUGAGAUGAAGAUUCGAGAACAAAUUAAAUUAGACAUCGUAUACUUCGUUUCAAAGGUAUGUGAAUUCUUAAGAUAUAUUCUCCAUUUAAAUUUCUGAUAAUUUUUACAGCUACAACCAAUUACAUCAUCAAUUGAUGGCGAAGAAGCUUUAAAUCGGCUUGAAAAGAAUAUUUCUAUUUAAUAUAGAUUCGAUUGUUAAUAUAUUUCUUGUUGUGUUAUGUUGAUAAAAUAAAUAUUUUAAUACUG